CCUACGGGAGGCAGCAGUAAGGAAUAUUGGUCAAUGGAGGCAACUCUGAACCAGCCAUGCCGCGUGCAGGAAGACUGCCCUAUGGGUUGUAAACUGCUUUUAUCCGGGAAUAAACCUGCUUACGUGUAAGUAGCUGAAUGUACCGGAAGAAUAAGGAUCGGCUAACUCCGUGCCAGCAGCCGCGGUAAUACGGAGGAUCCAAGCGUUAUCCGGAUUUAUGGGUUUAAAGGUGCGUAGGCGGCCUGUUAAGUCAGGGGUGAAAGACGGUAGCUCAACUAUCGCAGUGCCCUUGAUACUGAUGGGCUUGAAUGGACUAGAGGUAGGCGGAAUGAGACAAGUAGCGGUGAAAUGCAUAGAUAUGUCUCAGAACACCGAUUGCGAAGGCAGCUUACAUGGU
rnacentral:rRNA from 1 species